GGCUGGCAGGCUACGGUAUGUGUAUAUCGUCCCCUCAAUAUAACAAUAGCGUAUGUGCUCAUACGCCAUUAUUUUUUUAUUGCAUAUUUAGAAUCUCCAUCAUUGAUUCUAUGUCUGGUCAAAAUUUCGUCAAAUUCUACUUCCACAAAGUGGGUCAAAAUGUCAUUGGAAAAAAUGGUGUAUAAUUUCUUGUUCAAAAAUUUAAUAGACA